UGGGGAAUUUUGGACAAUGGGCGCAAGCCUGAUCCAGCAAUGCCGCGUGCAGGAAGAAGGCCUUCGGGUUGUAAACUGCUUUUGUCAGGGAAGAAAUCCUCUGGGUUAAUACCUCGGGGGGAUGACGGUACCUGAAGAAUAAGCACCGGCUAACUACGUGCCAGCAGCCGCGGUAAUACGUAGGGUGCGAGCGUUAAUCGGAAUUACUGGGCGUAAAGCGUGCGCAGGCGGCUUUGCAAGACAGAUGUGAAAUCCCCGGGCUCAACCUGGGAACUGCAUUUGUGACUGCAAGGCUAGAGUACGGUAGAGGGGGAUGGAAUUCCGCGUGUAGCAGUGAAAUGCGUAGAUAUGCGGAGGAACACCAAUGGCGAAGGCAAUCCCCUGGACCUGUACUGACGCUCAUGCACGAAAGCGUGGGGAGCAAACAGG
rnacentral:rRNA from 1 species